rnacentral:piRNA from 1 species
UAAGAAUUAUUUUUAUUUAUGUGUAUGUGU